rnacentral:rRNA from 1 species
AUUGAACGCUGGCGACAGGCCUAACACAUGCAAGUCGAGCGGAUGAAGGGAGCUUGCUCCUGGAUUCAGCGGCGGACGGGUGAGUAAUGCCUAGGAAUCUGCCUGGUAGUGGGGGAUAACGUCCGGAAACGGGCGCUAAUACCGCAUACGUCCUGAGGGAGAAAGUGGGGGAUCUUCGGACCUCACGCUAUCAGAUGAGCCUAGGUCGGAUUAGCUAGUUGGUGGGGUAAAGGCCUACCAAGGCGACGAUCCGUAACUGGUCUGAGAGGAUGAUCAGUCACACUGGAACUGAGACACGGUCCAGACUCCUACGGGAGGCAGCAGUGGGGAAUAUUGGACAAUGGGCGAAAGCCUGAUCCAGCCAUGCCGCGUGUGUGAAGAAGGUCUUCGGAUUGUAAAGCACUUUAAGUUGGGAGGAAGGGCAGUAAGUUAAUACCUUGCUGUUUUGACGGUACCAACAGAAUAAGCACCGGCUAACUUCGUG